rnacentral:lncRNA from 1 species
UUCAAUAAUUUCUUACAAAUAACAUUGAUAAAAUCUUGAAUUGAACUAAGCAAGAAACAGCCUAAGAUAAAAGCAUCAUAGCCCUGCUAAAGAACUUACGCAGCAACUGUUUUGGGAAACAAACCUUUGGAUCGACAUCAUGGGCCAAACCAUUCAUCAACAAAACAAAAUGUAGUCAACACUGGUCAAAAGAAGAGAGAUACACAAAAAUGAAGUCAACACUGGUCCUAAGAGGAUAUUAGUUAGUUUGUAUUCAAAGCAAGGAAAGAAAAUCAUACACCAACUAUCCUUUUGAUCUACUUUCCUUCUAUAAUCAUCAGAAGUUUAGCUAUAGCUAGAAUUAAAGUCGCAUAGCGAAAAACUAAGUUGCUCAUACUCUUCAAAAAUGUCUACGGGUGCAUGUCGGAUCCUCCAAAAAUAGUCUAUUUUUGAAGGAUCCGACAUGGUUGCAGCAACAUUUUCGAAGAGUUCGAGCAACUUAGGCGAAAAAGCCUCGGGCAUUCAAGGAAGGAUAGAAGCAGUGUAUGAGUGUAUGCUCUCAAGCCUGGCGAAGGCGGAAGCACGUAGGCGGCCACUGCAAAUGUCUUGAGAAACAAGCCUUAGGAUCUAUCAUCAUGGGCCAGAAAGAUGUUCAUCAAGAAAACAAAAGCAAGUCAGCACUAUCCUAAGAGGAGUUGCACAUACAGCAGCUUUAUAAUAAACAGUCUCCUAUUCAAAGCAAGAAAAUGAUCAUACAUUACACCCUAUACUAUAAUCAAGUUGUUCGUCCAUCCUUCUAAUCUCCUAUCUUUCUAUUAAAUCAAAUCACAUGAUAUAGCUAAAACAAAAGUCACAUUAAAAUAUGCCUUGGACAUCCAAGGAAGGAUAGAAACAGCACAAGCUCUCAAGCCCGGCGAAGGUGAAAGCACUUACGCGGCCACUACGAAUGUUUUGAGAAACAAGCCUUAGGGAAUAUCAUCAUGAGCCAAAAGGUAGAUGUUCAUCACAAUAACAAGAGCAUAAAACACUAAUACUAAGAGGAGGUACACAUACAAUAGUGUUAUAGUCCAUCUCAAUUCAGAGCAAGAAAGAAUCAUGCAUAGCCAAAUUAAAGCAAGAUAAUGAAUAAGACUCAGACAUCCAAGGAAGGAUAGAAGCAGCAUAUGCUCUCAAGCCUGGCGAAGGCGAAAGCACUUAGGCGGCCACUGCGAAUGUUUUGAGAAACAAGCCUUAGGAUGUAUCAUCAUAGUCCAAAAAUAAAACAACCAUCAAGAAAACAAAAGCAUUAAACACUAAUCAUAAGUGUUAGGCUUGCACUAGUGUUUCUUAUUAGUUUCCUAUUCAUCCAUCAAGCAUGAAAUCAUACAUAGCUAAAAAAAAUAAAGAACAUAGUGAAAAGCCUCAGACAUCCAAGGAAGGAUAAAGGCAGCAUAUGCUCUCAAGCCCGGCGAAGGCGAAAGCACUUAGGCGGCCACUGCGAAUGUUUAGAGAAACAAGCCUUAGGGAAUAUCAUCAUGAGCCAAAAGGUAGAUGUUCAUCACACUAACAAGAGCAUAAAACACUACUCCUAAGAAGAGGGACACAUACAAUAGUGUUAUAGUCCAUCUCAAUUCAGAGCAAGAAAGAAUCAUGCAUAGCCAAAUUAAAGCAAGGUAAUGAAUAAGACUCAGACAUCCAAGGAAGGAUAGAAGCAGCAUAUGCUCUCAAGCCUGGCGAAGGCGAAAGCACUUAGGCGGCCACUGCGAAUGUUUUGAGAAACAAGCCUUAGGAUGUAUCAUCAUAGUCCAAAAAUAAAACAACCAUCAAGAAAACAAAAGCAUUAAACACUAAUCAUAAGUGUUAGGCUUGCACUAGUGUUUCUUAUUAGUUUACUAUUCAUCCAUCAAGCAUGAAAAAAUCAUACAUAGCUAAAAAAAAUUAAGAACAUAGUGAAAAGCCUCAGACAUCCAAGGAAGGAUAAAGGCAGCAUAUGCUCUCAAGCCCGGCGAAGGCGAAAGCACUUAGGCGGCCACUGCGAAUGUUUUGAGAAACAAGCCUUAGGAUGUAUCAUCAUUGGCUCUACAAAAACAAAACACAACAAGAAAGCCAGGACGCAAAGCAAUUUCUUUAAACCAAUCAAAUUUGUGCCAUCCAAUAAUGAUCAGCAAAAUACACACAUUGUGAUGCUGACAAAGUGAUGAAUGAAUUCAAUUAUCAGGGACUUGUUCUUCCCUAAAGCAACUAUUUCAUUGCUAAAGAGGCAGACUUAUAAGUCCAAAAUCCCCUGAUUUCAUAUGCAAAGGGUGCACACUUCAUCAAAUGCUAUGAUCUUUAUCCAUACAAAGCCAUAAAAACACCUAUUUUAGUUACAUAAAUGAUAGUUUCAAAAGCAAAAGCACCACAAUAUAGCAAAAGUUCUUCACAAAACGAUGAUAUAACUAAGUGAAAUAUCAAUUCAUUUUCUACACUAUGUCAAAAAGGGCGAAAACACCAGUUUCUUCAGAAGCAAAAUA